GAUGAACGCUGGCGGCGUGCCUAAUACAUGCAAGUCGAGCGAAUGGAUUAAGAGCUUGCUCUUAUGAAGUUAGCGGCGGACGGGUGAGUAACACGUGGGUAACCUGCCCAUAAGACUGGGAUAACUCCGGGAAACCGGGGCUAAUACCGGAUAACAUUUUGAACCGCAUGGUUCGAAAUUGAAAGGCGGCUUCGGCUGUCACUUAUGGAUGGACCCGCGUCGCAUUAGCCAGUUGGUGAGGUAACGGCUCACCAAGGCAACGAUGCGUAGCCGACCUGAGAGGGUGAUCGGCCACACUGGGACUGAGACCCGGCCCAGACUCCUACGGGAGGCAGCAGUAGGGAAUCUUCCGCAAUGGACGAAAGUCUGACGGAGCAACGCCGCGUGAGUGAUGAAGGCUUCCGGGUCGUAAAACUCUGUUGUUAGGGAAGAACAAGUGCUAGUUGAAUAAGCUGGCACCUUGACGGUACCUAACCAGAAAGCCACGGCUAACUACGUGCCAGCCGCCGCCGUAA
rnacentral:rRNA from 1 species